rnacentral:lncRNA from 1 species
UUCUAUUGGAUCCUUGUAAUUGAAUUUAUUUCAAUGUUCAAGAAGAAGCUAGGCAGUUUCUAGGUGACGACCCAUGGCCUAGAGCCUAAGCAACCCUAGGCAUUUCAAGGUGUUUUUCUAGGCGUUUUAAUUUUUAUACACAUACAUAUAUAUUACCUUAAAUUACCUUAAGUAAAAGAAGAAAUAAGAGAUUUGUGGACUUAAAGUUGGAAGAAAGGCCCAUCAAGAAAGCCCAGCUCACCUUAUCCACCCCUUCCACCUUAUCCAUCCAACCAUCCUCCACCCACCGCACGAACCAGAGUCUGUGCUCUGCUUUCUCCGCCUCCCUUCCCUGCUUCUCCGACGUCGCCUGCUCCUCCCUCCUUCCGACGCGCGCCUCCUCCUCCGGUGACACGUGCCUCCCCCCUCCUCCGACAGCUGUGCCCGCCAUAUCCGCGGCCGUGCGUCCGUAGCGCCGGCAUCUACUGCCGGACAUCCACACCCGCCCUCCUUCACAGCUGCGCCCGCUGCCCACCUUCCUCCCAGCCGUGUCCCAGCCUCCACUCGUCGCCUGCCGCCGCCUCCGUGCCGGCGGCCCGCCCUCCUCCCGGCCACGCCUAUCUUCCGCCUACCCCCAUAGGCAAGGCGGCACCCCUCCGCCUAGCGCGGCCCAGGUGAGCACCUAGAAACGCCUUUUUGAACAUUGAUUCAUUUUAAUAAUCAUAAUUUAUACACAGAUUAAUUAAGCUAAUAUGGUCGUAUAUGGAAUAUAUUUAUAUAUUAUUGUGGGCCAUAUGAGAGAGAUACUUAUGCGUUGCAUUUGUACCGGAGGGGAGCGAGUUGAAGAGCGUGUUAUAAGUUGCAAAGUAGAGACAUAGCAUGGUGAUCUACAAAAUCAAUUUCCAUUUCCCACCCUAUGAAUCUGAGAUGGGCUAUGUGAACUUUGGAAAGUUGUGGAAUGUCAAAUUCCAAGCCAAAUAGCUUUGUCUAUUAAGUAGAUUCCAAUUCCCCCAAAAUGAAAGGAUCCAAACGGCCCAUAACAGAAAAGGGGCUGAUCAUAAUUGAACUGAGAGUGAGAAUUUGUGAUUCAAAGCAAUUAAAAGUUAAUGUUAAACAGAAUGUGGAUCAACUACCAGCCUCAAUUAUCUGCAAAAUUUAAAAUGCCUGCUCCUAUUGACAUAGGAUGAUUGCAUUCACUUACAGUUACAGAGCAGUGAUACUAAAAACAGCACAUGCAAUAUUUUUGCUUGAAAUGUUUGAAUAGUUCAGUUUCUCACAGUGGUUUAUCUACCUGUUCAAGAACUGCAUGUCGCAGGCUUGCAAAAUCAUGAACUUCAUCCUUUGAUUCCAAAUAAGCGUUUGCUGUCAUCAGAAACAAGUUCAAACCAUAAGGAAAUAUGCAUGCCACACACAUUUACUAGCAUAUUAUGAAAAGUAUACUGUAAUUCAAGAGCACUACCCGCAGCAUCACUUUCAAGCCAAGCUGGUCCUGUCUGAAUUCCAGCCAUGUUUUGUAGGGUAUUGGUUGAGAUCAUAUCAUGAUUUCCAUUAUAUGAGCCACCCAACAGCUGAGAACCUCUGCUUGAACCAAGA